CAUUCCUCAUGCGUCUCUUUUGUCCUUCUCUUGCAGUGCUGGCAAUGGCUGGUGGUGGGUGCCUGUGGUGGCCCCUUUGGUGGGGGCUACCCUUGGCACAGCCACAUACCAGCUGCUGGUGGCUCUGCACCACCCUGAAGACUCAGAGCAAGGUCAGAAAAAAGCCUCAGACUUGGAAACUCCUGCCUCGGUUCAGAUGCCCAGCCUCAAGGCCUCUAGGAACGCAGUUGCUAAAAGUAGCCACGAGGGGGUGUCCACGCUGGACGCUGGCUUGGGAGGGCUGCGGGAGUCUGCGGGGUGGAGGGCCGACGGGGGAACUUUCCUCUAGUCGGGGCCUGGCGGGGAACUUGCCUCCAAACCUGGGUCCCCUCUGCCCGACUUCCAGCUCUUGUAAGCCCAGCGUCGCGCGCCUUUGCCCCACAGGGGCGCUUCGCGGACGGUCAUUAGCGGCGGGGAAGCCGCUCCAUCCAGGGGGCGUGGUGGGGCGGCGGAGCACGGACCGUCCCUCGCCUGGUAGGCAGGGAGAGAAAGGCGAGAGACGAGGCACGACCUCUUCCAGGCUAACCCGAGGCUGUGUCGUUCUCGGAGAGCGAAAUGCCACGGGAGGAGCCCGGGCGAGGAGCCUGAGGCGGCCGGCUGCGGGGUGUGAGUCGGGGCCACGGGGAAGCUGGCGGCGAGGAGGAUUCGAGCUCGCCGCUUCUCCCGCCCUCUCGUCCCUCCGGGCCGAAGAUGCGCUUUUUGCAAAGAAGGCAGCAUUUCUCAUUCGCUUUCUUACGAAUUAAAAGGAAAAACCUCGCUACCUGGCUUCCCGGGUU
rnacentral:lncRNA from 1 species